rnacentral:rRNA from 1 species
UUCGCAAUGCCCGAAAGGGUAACGAAGCGACGCCGCGUGCGGGAAGAAGGCCUUCGGGUUGUAAACCGCUGUCGGGAGUUAAGAAAUGUAAGGAUGUUAAUAGCAUCUUUGCUUGACUAAGGCUCCGGAGGAAGCCACGGCUAACUCUGUGCCAGCAGCCGCGGUAAUACAGAGGCGGCAAGCGUUGUUCGGAAUUAUUGGGCGCAAAGAGCACGUAGGCGGCUAUGUAAGUCGGUUGUGAAAGCCUUCCGCUCAACGGGAGAACAGCAUCCGAUACUGCAUGGCUUGAGUGCGGGAGGGGAGAGUGGAACUUCUGGUGGAGCGGUGAAAUGCGUAGAUAUCAGAAGGAACGCCGGCGGCGAAAGCGGCUCUCUGGCCCAUAACUGACGCUGAGUGUGCGAAAGCUAGGGGAGCAAACGGGAUUAGAUACCCCGGUAGUCCUAGCCGUAAACGAUGGGCACUAAGUAGAGGGGUUUU